rnacentral:tRNA from 1 species
GAGGGGGCCCAGAGGACUGCUACUCCUCGCACCCGAGACUAACCACUCGGACCCAUCG